CCAUAGCGACUAUCGUGGCAUAUCAAUAAGCGGAGGAAAAGAAACUAACAAGGAUUCCCUUAGUAACGGCGAGUGAAGCGGGAAGAGCUCAAAUUUGAAAUCUUCAAGGUUUUACCUUGACGAAUUGUAGUUUAAAGAAGUGUUUUCUGUUGAAGUUUUGGCUAAAAGUUCUUUGGAAUAGGACAUCAUAGAGGGUGAGAAUCCCGUAUUUGGUCAUUCUUUCUAGCUUUGUGAUACACUUUCAACGAGUCGGAUUGUUUGGGAAUGCAGUCCAAAAUGGGUGGUAAAUUUCAUCUAAAGCUAAAUAUUGGCGAGAGACCGAUAGCGAACAAGUACCGUGAGGGAAAGAUGAAAAGAACUUUGAAAAGAGAGUUAAAAAGUACGUGAAAUUGUCAAAAGGGAAGCGUUUGACACCAGUGUUGUUUUUCCGAAAAUCAAUUACGAAUGUUUUAUUUUUGAGAAGUUAUGACUUCAUCGGCUUGCUUCUCUCUUUAUGAAACUUUCUUAAUGCACUUUUCGGUUAACAAGUCAACAUCAAUUUCUUUUGUUGUAAAAGGGUAUGAGGAAGGUGGCUUUCUUUUCGGAGAAAGUGUUUAUAGCCUUGUACCUCUGCAAUCGGAGAGAUUGAGGUCUGCAGCGUAGAUCCUUCGGGGUUAGAUACAUUUGUGCUAAGUUAUAGCUUUUCAUAGACAACUUGUUGACUAUGUUAAGUCUUGUAGCUUACUCGCUUAUGCUAUUUUACCUACGCUUAGGAUGUUGAUAGUCACAGCGUGUAC
rnacentral:rRNA from 1 species